rnacentral:rRNA from 1 species
GGCUCGCGGUAACUCCAACCCAUGUGACGUUACCAAACUGUUGCCUCGGCGGGAUCUCUGCCCCGGGUGCGUCGCAGCCCCGGACCAAGGCGCCCGCCGGAGGACCAACCAAAACUCUUUUUGUAUACCCCCUCGCGGGUUUUUUAUAAUCUGAGCCUUCUCGGCGCCUCUCGUAGGCGUUUCGAAAAUGAAUCAAAACUUUCAACAACGGAUCUCUUGGUUCUGGCAUCGAUGAAGAACGCAGCGAAAUGCGAUAAGUAAUGUGAAUUGCAGAAUUCAGUGAAUCAUCGAAUCUUUGAACGCACAUUGCGCCCGCCAGUAUUCUGGCGGGCAUGCCUGUCCGAGCGUCAUUUCAACCCUCGAACCCCUCCGGGGGGUCGGCGUUGGGGAUCGGCCCUGCCUCUUGGCGGUGGCCGUCUCCGAAAUACAGUGGCGGUCUCGCCGCAGCCUCUCCUGCGCAGUAGUUUGCACACUCGCAUCGGGAGCGCGGCGCGUCCACAGCCGUUAAACACCCAACUUCUGAAAUGUUGACCUCGGAUCAGGUAGGAAUACCCGCUGAACUUAAGCAUAUCAAUAAGCGGAGGAACAUAUCCAUAAGCGGAGGAGCAUAUCAAUAAGCGGAGGAGCCUCUUAAUAAGCGGAGGAGAAUUUUUCUAAGCGGAGCAGCCCUUUUAACAGCGGGUGUAUUGGUUCUGGCAUCGAUGAAGAACGCAGCGAAGUGCGAUAAGUAAUGUGAAUUGCAGAAUUCAGUGAAUCAUCGAAUCUUUGAACGCACAUUGCGCCCGCCAGUAUUCUGGCGGGCAUGCCUGUCCGAGCGUCAUUUCAACCCUCGAACCCCUCCGGGGGGUCGGCGUU